UGCGUAGGCGGUUUGUUAAGUCAUUUGUAAAAGAUCUCAGCCCAACUGAGUAAGGCGAGUGAAACUGACAGACUUGAAUACGGUAGAGGUAAGUGGAAUUCCAUGUGUAGCGGUGGAAUGCGUAGAUAUAUGGAGGAACACCAAUGGUGAAGGCAACUUACUGGGCCGGAAUUGACGCUGAGGCACGAAAGCGUGGGGAGCAAACAGGAUUAGAUACCCUGGUAGUCC
rnacentral:rRNA from 1 species